rnacentral:lncRNA from 1 species
CAGCUCAGAUGCACAGGAGCUGCAGCUGUGCAGUAACUGCAUGGUUUGGUCUGUGUUUUUCAGGCUCCAGCCGGCGAGUCUGGGCCUGGGAGCUCCAGGCGGGAUGCCUCUUACUCACCGAGCAGCCAGCAGGCUUCCAUAAACUUCAUCCCACCGCAGGAUGACAGCAAAUCACUGCGUCCCGCCUCUCCAGAGGGUGUCCCAGCUAAUGUCAAGCAGGCAUACAAGACCUUUGCAGCGGUGCCCCUGUCACAGGCAAAUAAGGAGACGCAUGGUCAGACAAGCACCGAGAAACCUAAAGCUUCUCCUGAGGUGAGUUUCAGUGGCUGGAAAUGAAGUUGGAGUUGGGAGUCCUAAUCACAGACCUUGGGGAUAA